UGCAAUAAACUCAGGUGAGUUCUGAUUUGGAAUGAAAGGUUAAUCAAACUUGGUAUAGCUUGUUUUCUGCGAAAUUCUUUUUAGAGAAGCACUUCAGUUAUGAAAUGGUAAAUCACUGAUAAAAUUAGGGUUGUUUUUAAGCAUUACCGAGUUUUGUUAAAAUAAUAAUAUUUUUAGAAGUAGUUGGAUUAUUAAUGAUAAAGUUGGUAAUCAAAAGAGAAACAACUCUCAGUGUUAUUUAAGGUUUUAAAAUAGAUCGUUAUUUAAAAGGUUGUUUUUGCACUAUGAUAAUUUGUUCAGUGGGCUUAGAAACAGCCAUCAAUAAAUAAUAACGUAACAGUUUGCAAAUUUAUUUGUUUUUAAGCACCGAAAAUUCAUAGAAUUUUAUAUCUUACCGAAAAUACACAAUUUAUUUUUUAAGUUAGUAGCAGAACGUUUUGUAAAAUUUAUAAAUUUUUGUGAGAAAAUUCUUUUUAUCAAAAUUGAUAAUGCCGAUAUGAGUAACAGUAAAAAGAUUCCAAUAUCUUUCACCUAUAAUUGAAGUUUUAUCUCUUCGUUUUUUUUCGACGAAUUGUUAAUCGAAUUCUUAGGUAAUCGUGAAAGCGACCGACCGAUGAAAAUAAAACUUAUAUAUAUGAAAAUUAUACGACUAGUCUUUUCUAAUUCGGGUUAAAAGCGCUAAGUCUUUCAAUUUUCCAAGAAAAAAAGUUAUAUCUUCGUAAUAAAUCCGAAACAGGUAAAUAAGUUCAUAAACUACGGUGUUUGAAUUAUUAAAAAAUAUGGAACUCGGCAAAUUUCCAUUGUAACUUUGGGAAAAAAUGGAUCGGUCUUUAAAAUAUUGAUUGAUCAUAGUAAAUUAGGGUUAGCGACUGUUUAUUAAAAACAUAAAAUUAUGCUUAAUUCUAAAGAAUACGUAUAUAAUUUGAUUGGUGUCCAAUGUUAAUAGAAUAACAAAAAAAUUUUAAUCAUUUUUUUUCUAAUCUUUGAUAAAUGACCGUAUUAUUCUGAGUAUGGUAAUGUAGCGAAAUUCCUUGUCUACUAAAUAUAGUCCUGCACGAAUCCAAUAAUGACUCACCCGCUGUCAUAUUUUUUAGUUUUGUGAAAUUAAAGUUUUGGUGAAGAUUCCAAAAACGUAAUUUUAGACGAAAAGACCCUUUUGACCUUUACUGAAGCCAAUUAUUUUAAAAAAUAAUAAUCUUGUUCAGGCUAAAUAAGAGCUUAUGAAAGUUAAAAUAAUUAAUUAUUUUAACCAUUAGGUAACCCGUGAGAUAUUAUUCUUGUUUUUAUUUUUUAAUUAACCCCGGAAGGGGGACAGUUAUUGGUUGUUAGUUUAAUUGGGACGAUUGCCUUUAAAAUAGUAUCAAAGGUGCACACUGGUAGAGUUGUACGAAAUAUUUCGUUCAAAAGCGUAAAAGUAUUAUCUCUGCUAAACUGUUAGAUUGAUAAAUCAAGCAGAGACAAAAGUCGGCUUUAAUGAACCAAACGUUUAGAAUGAUAUAUUGUUUGAUCAUCAGAUAAAAGGUACCAUAGGGAUAACAGAAUAAUGUAAAUCAAGUGAUCUUAACGACAUUUACGUUUAUCACCUCGAUGUCGACUUGCUAUAUCCUAGUGCGGAAGUUUGUACUAAGGGUUUGACUGUUCGUCAAAUAAAAUAGCACACGAGUUGGGUUUAAAACGGCGUAAGCCAGUUUUGUUUCUAUCUGAAUUGCGAAGUAAAAAUAAGACUUUAAUUUUAGUAUGAGAAGACCAAAAAAAAAGAGCCAAUGGUAUAAAAUUAUUUGUUUAAAAUAUUGUUUUGUCGCUACGCUUUUGAGAAUAACAAUUGACAGAAUCUAUAUUGGAAAUCUCGCUUAUUUUUUACAAUUAUACGAAGUUUUUCACUUUAAUUUUUCUUGGUAAAAGAUCAUUACUUUAAUCGGUGAUAAAUUUUAUGUUUGUAAAA
rnacentral:rRNA from 1 species